GUGCCAGCAGCCGCGGUAAUACGUAGGGGGCAAGCGUUGUCCGGAUUUAUUGGGCGUAAAGAGCGUGUAGGCGGCCAUACAGGUCAGCUGUGAAAACUCGAGGCUCAACCUCGAGACGUCGGUUGAAACCGUAUGGCUAGAGUCCGGAAGAGGAGAGUGGAAUUCCCGGUGUAGCGGUGAAAUGCGCAGAUAUCGGGAAGAACACCUAUGGCGAAGGCAGCUCUCUGGGACGGUACUGACGCUGAGACGCGAAAGCGUGGGGAGCAAACAGGAUUAGAUACCCGCGUAGUCC
rnacentral:rRNA from 1 species